CUAGAAAGAGUAACGAUGUUGGGCUUAGUAUGGAAAAAAAGACCUGCUUGGAGGAAGUUAUGGGGGGAAAAAAAAAAAAAUUCACACAAAUAUGUCUGUGAACUUGGCUGCUGUACAGUAGCGGUGCUGAAAAUAGCUGCAAAAACCGGGCUGCAUCAUGGUGAGCAAAGCUUCAAGAGCUGCGGCUUCUGCUGAAGCGUGAGGAGCAGGGGGUGACAGGAGGAAGAUGAUGCCACAUCUGAUGGUGAGGGCUCGCUCUGUCUUGAGGAAUUCACCUGGUUUAGCAUCUUGCGUGUUUGAAGAGAGUGAAAAAUGCCAGAAAUAAAGGAGAGGAGCUACUUUGCAGAAUUUCCAGCUGUUUUACAGACUGGAUUUCAAAUUUUUAGAAGUCUGCCCCGGGAAGGGGCCACUGGCCAAGCUGGGGGCUUACCCACUCAGGGAGCUGGAACCAGUUCCCAAGGCGUUCCUGGUCUGGUGGCUCACCAGGACUUUGGUUCAAGCCAUCAGACUCUCAUCAACGAGUUUUGGGAGACGUGACCGCACGAACCAUCUUGAACAGUGUCUGUCGGUAAGGAGGAGCUGUUCCUCCUGCCCCGUCGUGUCAAUGGCCCCAUGUGUUGGAGAGGAUGCAGGAAGGGAGCCCAGCGCAGCCAUCCACAGCGGUGAGGGGAGGCGAAGUGGUAGAGACCUCAGCAACAUCCUCUGCAAAGUGGGGAACUGGGGGAUUUGGAGCCCGGGGAGAAGGUUCCACUGGGAGGCAAAACCACUAAGACGGUAUUCUAUCUGCAUUCCUGAGCACGGUGGGUUUCCCCCACGGACCUUUAUCAUCUCCUGCCUGCGUGGACCAUUACUGGCUCGGGGAUGAAGUGUGAAGAGCGGAAACUCUCUGUGCACAGACCGACUGUCAGGAGAUGCUGCGUCUGCUCCGCGCCUGCCCAACAUCCUGUGCGACUUUCAAGCAAAUCUCUCGAUUUCUUUGCAUCGCCGUACCCAGACGUCCUCGCCUCAGCCAGCAGCGAGCCCUGCAUGAGUCACUUCGUGAUGCUCCAAGCCGUGGCACAGGACGAAGCGGUGGAAAGCCUGCGAGUCCCAGCGCGGUCGGACACCUCCAGCUGGUUCUUCUUACAAGCUGGACGGUGUGCGAGCACUUGAUACGUGGUUUAUAGCCAGAAGAGGCACGGGAUGAAGCCAAGGCUGGGAAACCUCCCCCUUGGAAGCAGGGAUGAAGAUUCUCAUGGAGCAGCAGUUGAUGGUCUGCACACCCAGCAGCUCUGCCCGGCGGCUGGGCGAUGGCCAUGGGAAGGCUCUCGCCGUCCGGCGGCUGUUGGGUGUCUAACGUGGCAAGGGGACACCACAGGCAGACGUGGAAGAAAGACGGAUGAGUUAGUCCUGAAUCCGAAUUCGGGUUCAUAGCCAUGUUGCUCCGCAAUCACUAAAGAUUAAGAUCUUAAUUUUAGCAUUUCUUGUGCAUUCUGCAGCCAGAACACGUCCCGUGUCUGCUCUGUGUAAGAGCCCGGGGAACGCUGGCGUGCUGGGUGUACAUAUUUAGGUUACUUCCAGAGAAGUGGAUUCAUUUUGAUGGAACCAGCCGACCGCCUCAGCACUCGGCCGUGUCGUGAUGGGGAUGAAGGACAGCUCCCGCCUUACAGCAUCUCGCUGUUGGAGGUUUUAACCUUGCUCACAUAUCUGUUACUGCUUGGUUUAUCUUCACUAAUAUUCAGACUUUGACCCUACCAAGACCAUUAUCAGACCGUCUCUGGAUUUCAGUGGCCAAACGCUCAAAAGCAGGGGCCCCCGGCGAGGGCUUCCUCUGCUUAACACAAAGUAAAGACCAACCUGUGCUGAACUAAUUCAUCCCGCUUUGAUCCCUCUCUUCAGGAGGUCUCUUGGCCUUCCUGGAACCACCUGGUUCAUUAGAAAUUGGGGUUUUGAAUGUAUUGGAAAUGUAGAUCUCAUAUUCCCAGAGGCAUAUGGGGACGUGGUGAAAUGAAUGUGCAUAUUGUAUCUUAAUAAUCUGGUCUUCUGGGGUUGACAGACUUUUUGAAGGAGGUUUGAAACAGGGACCAGUUUCAUCUCACACCAGGCACUGGGUCCUCACUUAACUAACUCUGCAAUUCCGUAUAAACUUCUCAACGUAAAAUAUAGUACUAUGCAAUAAUCAGAUAUUAUUUAGAAUGUAUUUGGUAAGGAACAUCUGCUGCCCUGAAAAUUAAAUUAAGGGUGUUAAAUAGGAGUUUAAAGAAAACGGGUUUUGGGGGGAAAAAGAUCUUUGAAGAUACCUAUUUUAGUUCAGAUUUCAAAUUUAAAUUUCCUCAAAUAUGUUGGCAGGAUUCAUUUCUCCUUUGUACAUGUAACAUUAUUUGUUCAUAUAUGCCAUUAUACAGCUCCUUUCAAGCUGAAUAUUAUACUGGAAUACAGCAAAAGACAAAUUUAAGAUAUGAAACUGGAGGAGACCAUAUUUCAUACUGCAUAAAAUGCACCUCUGGAAUUUUCAGUUCUUCUUUUCUGCAGUAUUACAAAUGCCUUUAUAAAGUAUCAUGGCUGAUGAGCUAAAAAAAAAAAAAAAAAAAAAAAGAGAAAAAAUGCUGUGGCUUUGGAUAUGUUCACUUCAAGUUUGUGGUUAAUAGUUCCCAGGCUGCUUAGAGGUGAGCCUAAGUUCACUCAUCACACCACUGCUUCACCAGUCUCUGCCGAUGUUUCUAAAUGACUCUGAUGAAAGAUUGUGAAAAAUGGACCUGUGGUAAAUUGCAUCACCCUCGUUAUGCAUUUUAAGAUGGGGACACAACACAAGCUGUGUGUCCGGGUCACGCUCAGCCUUUCCUUGCAUUCCCUCUCCACCCCCGCCGCAGCCACCGGUGCAGUUCAGCCGGUGCCACCCACGGCGGGUGCAAACCCGCUGCCUUCUGCUGUGAGUUCAUUGCAUAACCGUGCAUCGCUACCCAUGCUGGUUUCCUCCUCUGCACGAGACAUUUUGCAUUAGCUAGUGGUUAUGGAGACACCAGAUUUCUCUUUGGUGAAGGUAAAAAGCUGCUCUGGGUGGAAGUCCCCGACCGCCGUGCGCAGGACCCCCGUCGGCUACAAGCGUUCAGGUGGUGUGAGACCGGCCGGAACCGAGAGAUCCUAGAAGAGCCCUUCGCUUUCUCACUGCCUGUGCCCUGACCUGUGCAACCGCUCUUUAAACCCCUUUCUUUCCAAAAUACAAAGAGCUUUUUCCUUCUCAAUCUUUGAGAGGUUUUACUUGAACCUCGUUAAACUUCAUCACCAAAAUCCAAAGCAGAUUGAGACGAAACAGCCCGUAGGUGAGAAUACGAGUUACAAAUUGGUGCUGAAGAAACACUUGUAGUCAACCAGCCUCUCCGUACGCAGCUUUAAACAGCGUAAAUUGCCAUCAGCUACGAUAGGAAGAAGUGGGGAGUCCCCAGCGCUACGUUAGGAAUUAAACCAAGCCCGGCGUCUCUGGGUCCGGCCAGGGCUGUUGUCUGCCGGCUCCUUGCAUGCGGGUGGUUGUUGUGGUGCUGGGACACGUUUAUGUGUUUUAUUUGUAUGUAAAUAUAAGAAAGCAGAAACAUAAACCCCCUCUGGGUAUGUGGCUAUUCUAGAAUAAACCCACGCAGCGACACAUUUUGAGGGAGGUAACGCAGAUGCUACGACCGUAACAAGUGUGAGCGUCCCUGCUCGCAGCCGGCUGCGCUGCCUCGGGCGGGCCCCACGAGUCUGGGGUUACGUUAUUCUGGGGGUGUUCCGUGAUCCCCGCGUGCAAACCCGAUAUGCACCCGUGUCCCAAAGCAGCGCCUGGUGCUGUAGGUGGCCGUUGGGUACCUCAGCCAGGCAGCCGCGCUGCUGGGUGGGAGGUCGGUGCUAAUUUGCACCAGCACUUCUGUAACGCUUCCUGGCAUCCGUCUGCGUUUGGGCACCACCUGGACCUGCGGUGCUCUUUACUCUGCAUCUCGCUUCUACUGUUACGUGGUCAUUUACUAAACCAAAAUAGUCCUUAAUACCUAGCAGAAGUAACAGAUCCUUUUGGGUUUAGUAUUUUCCCUCCUGGGUAGAAAAUGAGUAAAGUUUGGCAGCGGCGAACCAGACUUUGCAACUGCGAGGUUAUUUUUCCCCAUUGCAGCUUUUGCACGGUAGGGAAAAGGGUGUAUUUAAUCCCCGUGAAUCAGUCCCCGCACGAUGCUGGGUUUCCACUGCACCCUGAUACCCUCGGCAAUCCGGAGUCUGGCUCGGACAUCUCGCUUUCCCAUUCUUUAUAAAGCAGGAGUGAUUGUGUGUGAAAGGAGGUGCCUGGAUGUGAAACCAGCUAGAAAUAUCCCGUCCACUUCUCCUUUCCCAUCAGUAGAUAUUGCUUCAGUUCCCAUUUCCUAAUACUGCCUCUUUCAUCGGCUUCAGGCCCUUUUCACCAGUUGCUUGCCAAGGAUUUCUGCGCCUUGGACCAAGACAUACUUUAGCUAUUUUAAAUGAAAUCUUUGAUAUUCCUAUUGCAUUUUGUCUUCAAAUGUGCAUUUGUCAUAAUUUCUACAUUUUUCCCCCCUCUUUCAUGAUGACUAGCGAUGCAAGAUAAAGUAAGAUACUUCCACCAUGCUAUUUGCAGGGCUCUGGCCAUGGAAACAAUCUCUGUCCUCCUCUGCUCUUGCCUGCACCCCACUUUUCCCUGCUCUUCCUUUUAGCUAGACCCUUCUGCCAGCUUUCUCUCCUAUCAAGCCUCGUGCCACCUCGCUGUCCUUUAAUAUUAAAGUAAAAUGGACACCAACUCGUAUCUGACAUACCCUGUAAAAUCUGCGACUCUCAGACGUUAGACAACUGCUCGGAUCCUUGCAGUGAAGCAGACUGGAGUUAGCCCAGCCAUACCUGCAGUCACGCUCCCAGCAGCUCAUCGCUAUAUUGCUGCAAGUUUGCACGGGUUUGGGUGUUUAAUUAGCGCUGGUUCCACCGCAGUGCCCAGGGCCCUCAUUUUCCACUGGGGUGGUGCUGCCAUUUGGGGCUCACAGGGCACAGCAGCGAGGAGGGGGAGGAAGGCAGUUCUGGGUGUUCACUCUUGCUCCCACGGUCCUUGUGCUUUCUCUCCCGCAGGCUGUUAGACCGAACACACCUCGUGUCUGUAUAGAAACCAGCGCAAUUUGGUGCUCAUUUUGGCCUUGGUACUGCUUCAACAUAAAAAAUCAAUAAGAAUGUGCUUGUUUCCAGGGCACCCUUCAUCAGGCAGUACCAGAAAGGAGCAGAUUCAGACCCAAGGUGCCUUUGGGCUCUCACGGCCCAAGGCUGCACCACCGAGCGGGUCCCUCCCCACCCCGGGCAUCCCUGUGCCCCACCGCCACGUAUUGCUCCCGCCGAAGCUCCUCUCGUCAACCGGCUUCUGCGCCGCGGUGCUUUGCACCUGGAUGGGAAACCAGGUAGGAAAUUAGUAGGAAGGAUGAGGCUGGAAACGGUGGGGGUCUGGGACCUGGCUCCUGAGUGUGCUCAGCUGGCCCCGCAGCAGCAACAGCCUCAGCUGCCUGAUGAGGAGAAACUGUCCCCAAAACCCCUGACCUCUGCAGCUAUUCUUUUUCGGAGCUGUAAGGAAAAGGAAAUGGAGCUGCUGUAAUGCAUUGUUGUAAGCUGCUGGGUUCUGGUAUGCUCCAAUGUGUUGCUGUUUACUUUGCAGUGGUUUUUGUUGCCAUUUGCAUUUGAAUGUUGUAAGCUGCAGCUGCAGCUCUUCCCCGGGGAUGCUCCAGGUGUUGCUGGGGCAUGCCUCAGGAGCUGCAUCCCGCUAUCGGCAAGGGCUGUGCAGCGAGGUUAUUUAGGACAGGGAGGAAGGGAAAGGAGCCAGUAGGUCCAUUUCUGUGAAAGCAGGGCUCCUGGGGCGGCAGGUCCAGCUCCACAAAGCCCCGGCUGUGGGCUGAGCGGGGUCUGCCCCUGCAGCGAUGCGCAGCAGAGCCGGGCUGGGAGCAUCACAUCAGCUCCUCUUUGCACCAGGUACUCUGAUAUCAUUUGAAAUUUUUAUUGCUAAGUAUAGAAGUGGUUGAGAGAAACUGGGAGUGCAAUCCUGGCGGUGGGGUUUGCUGGUUUGCUGAUACCCUGGGGUUAGAGAGGAAACCCCAAGCUAAUUUACCAGGACAUUGCGUUGAAAAAUAAGGGCAGGUAAACUACAGGGCCUGGGGUUUAAUAAUUCUGUUGAUCUGGGGUUUCUGUUGCCUGUUUUAGAAAUAUAUCUAUAUAUAGCUGUGUCUUGUUGUUUGAACUACAUCUGGCUUAAAACUGCUGCAGUCAUUCUUGGGUUUAAUUCCAUUCUACUCUCAGAAGAUUAGUAAAUAAACGUAAUAAUUUCCAUGCGGUGGGUGGCGUGGGCUGGCGUUGAUUGGUAUGAAUCAAAAUGAUUGAAGAGCAUUACUGAGUGCCCUGAGAAUGAGAGGGAAACUGCUGGUGGAGCUGCCCGCACAGAUGGCUCUCUAGCACAUUAAGAGUACUGCAUUUUAAGACAAAAUGAAACUGUUUCUUCCUUUUUUUUCUUCAUUCAUAGACAGAAGCCAAACUCUACUGGCUCUACACUUUCCUCUUCUCUUUUUUUUUUUUUCCUUCCCCCCUUAAUAUUUCUGGUUUUCCUCUUUUCUUUUCACUGUACCUGCUCUUUUCCUUGGUUCCACGUUACAGGACACUUCUGUCCUCCUGUUGCAAUGCUCUGGGCGGGGGCCAAGCCCGAGGGCGGCAAUGUCCGCCCCUGUCUGAAUGGGAAUAUCGGGCAAACAAGGAAAGGACUUCCAAGGCACCGAGUGCCUCUUCCUAACCUGGCUGUGCCAAGUGCCCUCUGCUCCCAUAGACUUCAGUAAGAAAUGAGGAAUUGUCUGCUGCGGCUUAUUCCAGUCAUAAUGUGCGUUAAGAGUGCCCUCAGAGGAGCUUCCCACUUUGUGUAGAGGGCAAAGGACCUCUUGUGCCCUAGUUUUCUGUAUCUAGAUUAUGUCGUUUGAGAGGCUUCCUGAGCAAUGAGCAGCACCGGUGUGCAGAGCCGCAAUGCCGCCAAAGCCCGGGGCAGGCAGGGCUUCUUCCCGGGGCUCGGCAGAACUGCUGGUUGUGCUCUCCUUGGGGUCCCUCCAGAGACAGGGCUGAGCAGACGGACCUCUGCAUCUUCCAGCAGCACCAGCCCGUGAGGGUUAUUUCCCCUUCCAAUUUUGGUCUGAUGUUUCUCGGUUGGGGGGUGGAGGGUUUCUUGUUAUUGAUGAUUCAGCUUUCCUCAAGAUAGUCAGUCUAGAGUCCUUUUUUUGGAGUUUGAUAAAGCACCUCAGUUAAGGCAGCACCUCGGUGCACAGACUGCCUUAGCUAGCGAGAAGGGCUUGGCGAGCGGGAGGAUAAAACCAGACGAGCUGUGAGGAAAAGAGGAUAUCCAAGGAAGCAAGUUCUUGGUUCUUCAGGGAUGGCCUCACCUGAUGCCUGCAGGCGCUUCUGGCAACACUCCUGCCGCGGUAGCGUUAGACUGCACACUCCAGUUAGGCGUGCUGUAGAAAUGCUUCAGUAGAAAGGGGUUUCGACUAAAUCUACACUGGCUAUAUAAGCAUUUUUACCACCACCUCCCCAAGCAAGACAGGGAGUUUUCAAUUACAGAAUCGCAAACAGCCACACAGGACGCACCCUGAUUUAUGCAUUAAAUACCAGGAAAGGCUUCGGUUCUGUUUGUCACUUAGCAGAUGGUGACGGUUGUUCCAGCAUGUCAAAUAUUUCAUGCGUGACACCUCAAUUCAGGAAAUAGUGGUUUGCUCAGCAGAGGUGCAGGAGGCAGCAAGUUGUUAUUGAGUAUAACAUUAGCCUUUCUCAUAGUUUUUCUCGAUUUACCGAGUUUGUUUUCCAGAGCAGAAAGCUGUACUGGGUUCCGCACGGGGGGCAGUGGCGUACCCCAGGUGGCACGUGCAGGCUCGGGACGCCCGCAGCAGGGAACGUGUCCCACGUGCCAAACUCCCCAGUGUUUUGCUGGGUUUUUGACACCGUAGCAAGUUCGUUUUCCUGCAGGGUUGGGCUCGCGUCCUGCAGACCUCGGUCGCUGAGGUUCCUGUUCCUCAGAUGCAAGGUGCCUGAGGUUUGCUGAACCGCAGUGAGUUCAUUGUGAAACUGUGCCACCGAAGCGGCUCCAGCCACCCCAGGGUUGGUUGUUAUUCUGUAAAACGGGGUGAGGUCAAUCCCUUGCAGGCCCUUACCAAGAAGUCAGGGGUAAGCGCAGGGCUGUGCCAAGCAGAUGCUGUGCCCGUCCCGCAGGUGGGAGGGCAGCGAUGGGUUUCCCCGCACCGUCCCCUCGACUUCCAGGAGAGAGCUGUGGUAAGGACAGCACCUGGGUCCUCUGUCUCGCAGCUCGCCAGGUCCCGCACUGAAAGCAAAAAGAAACAAGCUGGAAAAUCGGCGUCUUCCUCCUCACUUUCACAAGGGCCAAGUGAAAGGGUCACGGAAAUGAUGGAGCGGCUCCUUCCAGCCGAGGGCCCCGGGGAGGCUGGAGCGCAGCCCCCCCCCGCCGUCUGCCGGCACGGCCGCUCUGCGGUUGCAGACACCUUCUGAUUUCUAAAGCGCUCGGUGUGGGUUUGGCAAGCACCGGGAGAGUCGUGGUGCUGGGGUGCUGCGGGCGAGCGGGGUCUCUCUGCAGGUGGCCUUCAGCCCGCCCCUUCCAGCUGCCCAGGGAUGCAAAAUCCCUGCAGUGGCCAAGCAGCGAAGAGGAGCUGGUGGCUAAAAGUGGAGCGUAGCCCACCCAUGCCUCUCCCGCAGGGUACAGGACGGCACGCAGCAGUUCCCGGGACAGCAGGGAAACGCCUCUGCUGCGACGUGAUCCCCACAGCCUUUAAACAAGGCUCAGGGUGUAAGUUAUUCUUGUUCACGGCCAGAACCUUCCCCAGGGCAGUUAGCCCGUUUCCCUGAAAUGCAGCGAUUUUUGCCUUUACUUGGAUCUGACCGUAAGGUACCGCGCAAUGUGUUUAUGUGGUUUUAACGCUCCAGCCUCGGCACCGGGAACAGUCGAGCAUCAGCCGUGGGGUGCCUCACGCGGGUCCCCGACCCGGGCAGGGUCCCGCCACCAUCCCGCUGGGGACAGAAGCGGAGUCAUUCCUGACCCGGGGGAGGCUGCCUCGAAAGGCCACCCGCUCAGCCUGGCUGGGCUCGGCCGUGGCAGCAGGAGGUGACACCCUGACGUGGAGCACAGAGAAAUGUUAUUCCAAGGCUUCCUCAUACCUUUGGGCUGUCCACGCUCCCUAACCCCUGGGCACUCGCGUUACGUAAAGGUACACGCGCUGCAAUCAGAACACCUCAGUGAGUUGCUUCUCUCAAGAUGCUAAUUAGGUAGAAGCUUUGCUACCUGUUUAUCACAACAUACCGGAGGAACGUGAGCUGGGGUCCUUCUCCUGCUGGGCUGUUCAUCAGGGACGGGGACGAGGGGCUCAGCCUGUGCUUCCAGCAAAGCUCGCCACGCUUUGCCGUGGGGAAUUGCUGGUUUGAGGGAGGGGAAUUUUCCUGAAUGUAGGAAUUACAUUCAAGCUUUGCCUCGGACAUGGCUUUCAUGUGCCACUGUGUUCGGCCGCAGGGAUGACGUCGGGUUCUGAACUGCUGGGAUGAACCCGGGAGCAAACAGGAUCUGGGAAUUAAGGCCCAAACAUCAGUCAGCUUUGCGUACAGCUGGGCAAGGGUACAAUCUAGGUGGGGCUGGGCCUUUUAAAAUCAAUGGAAAAAAACUUCUGUUAUCUUUAGCUCCUAGGGAAGAUAACAUUAAAUCAGCUAAGAAAGGGCAGUUUCAGUAAUAGUGCCUUAAUUAAACACACCACCAGUCUGAAAUCUGGUCAGUCACAAGAUGUAAAUUAAAAAUAGGUCCAAGAACACACCUAUUAACUACUGUGGCUUUUUAAAUCCUCUCUUCCUCUUCUUGACGAUUGUUUUCCUCUCCCUGCCUCGUGGAGAAAAAGCCAUUCAAUGAGACAGGCUGAUCACCCGUGCACGGAAAUCGCGUGUGUAGCAUCGCCGAGCUGCGUGGGUGUGAUUCCCCUGGACCAGCCUGGCAGCGCUCUGCACAGCGGCUGGGGAGCAGCACGCUUCUGAUGCAGCCAGUCGUUGUCAAACUUUUGCAACUCGCUCUGUAGGCAAUAUCUAAGAUGCUUUUGGUAUGACUCGGAUGCAGUUGUUGAUCGUUGGUGUGAGCUUUGAUGGAUGUUACGCAUUAGUAGAUACAAAUUACACGAGAUUUCUUGAUGUGAUGCAGCUCGUGCUGGGAUUUUGGCACGCAGCCUGAGAUGAUACAGUCAUCACAUGAACAUUAGGCGACUGAAGCACAGCUUUGCCGUGGACCUCCUUGGUACACCCCUGGGAACAUCUGUCCAUGGGCUUCCAGAAGCGUGGUGUUCAGGGUGGCGUGCAGCGUGUGGAGACCCCGGUGCGGCUCUCAAAGCUGAUGCGAAGGCUUGCUCUGGGCAGGAGUGGCAGCUGCUGGAUAUCAUACUGAAUUAUUAUUUCUGUGUGUGCUAACACGGUUCGCUUGCUGACUUGAAAUGAUGCCACUGGUAAUCUAUGCCAUCUUUCCCCAAGAUUUUUUUAAAAAUAUCCUAAAAACCAGUUUACCAGCCGCAAGGCUGGGAGCAGGCCAGCGUAGUCCACGCUCCGCUCUCUGCUCCCUCUGCUUUCUUCAGCAAUAAAGUCAGUGAAAACAAAGU